GGACAGAUGGCCGAGCUGGUAAGAAACAUUCCACGUAUUCAGCACACAACCUAAAAUUUCAUAGGUUAUGGCGCUAGGUUAAGGUACUUAACAAAAAUUUCCUAGUCACGAAAGUGGCGUGGGUUCGAGUCCCACUCUGUUCA